ensembl:lncRNA
CCAAGAUAAAUACCCUAACAACAACCCCAAGGUAAGUACCCUAACCACAACCCCAAGAUAAGUACCCUAACCACAACCCCAAGGUAAGUACCCUAACCACAACCCCCAGAUAAGUACUCUAACCACAACCCCAAGGUAAAUACCCUAACCACAACCCCAAGGUAAGUACCCUAACCACAACCCCAAGGUAAAUACCCUAACCACAACCCUAAGGUACGUACCCUAACCACAACCCCAAGAUAAAUACCCUAACAACAACCCCAAGGUAAGUACCCUAACCACAACCCCAAGAUAAGUACCCUAACCACAACCCCAAG